AGAGGAGCCAAACAAACCUACCUCAGCCUUACAACUGAACACAGAGAGCACGUUGCAACCGAGGGUUCAACGUCUGAAUCGACCUCGUUAACGAGUUGCGUCUUUCAGGACAACAGUUAGGUUUGCAAAUAACAGAACUGAGAGGACAUAGGGUGACGUAGGACGGCUGCAAAGGUUGUUGUCAAUUUUGGCAAACAGCACGGAAUCCUGAUCCUAUUCACCGAUCGAUGCGACGAUAAAUUUUUAUCAAACGUCACUCACCUGUCUGGCCAAGGGCAAGAAAGAAUUCGGCAUACGGCGAGGGCUGCGGCAGCCAGUAUGCUGGCCGCCAGGGCUGCGUAAACGAUGCAAAGGUGAACCAGCGAGAAGAUGUAAAGAGACUUGUCACACCAACGGUUCGGCUCAAACAAGUUGCCGGAGAGCAUCUUUGCAGAUAAUUUCGUCCACCGGGGGAGUCGGUCAUCCGGUCAAGGAAUUGUUAUCAAUCGAUCUGUCUCACACGCGUGUCCGUGGACUGUAAAGGAGCCA
rnacentral:lncRNA from 1 species